rnacentral:misc_RNA from 1 species
ACCGUGCCUACACCACAGCAGCACAGAAGCGAAGACGUGCGAGCUUCAGUGUGCCCCCCCCCUCCCCCACCCCGAUCACACACAGACAAACCGAGAGCGCAUCAGGGAAGAAAGGCGAAUCGCCCAUGCAGUGACACCCACCACACAUACACAACCACAAUCUGUCACUCAGAGAUGAGGCUACAUUCACAACUGGACUCAUCGCGAAAAUUGCCGUGAAGGCUGUUCCAUCUGGUAGAGCCGCUUAUAGACCGUUCUGGACUCCAAAACUGACGCGAUCAGAGGCAUGUCUUGCGAAAGUACCCUAGGCGUCGCCCGAGCAUCGCCCUCUCCAGGAUGUGUUCAUCAAGCAGGGCCAAAGAGUCAGCCUUGAAGGAUGGGUGCCCUCUGCAACUCACUCGCUCCCAUCGACCCUCGAUCUCGCGCACUCAUCUUGGCUAUCCAUGACCCCGUGCACUGCGCAAACCAGCAAUGAGACAAGGCGACCGCCACCUCAAUCCGAAAGGGCAGCUCAAUGUAUCGGUGAGGAUCUACCGGCAGAAGUCAGUGCAACAUCCGGCAGCCUCACCCCGCGCCCCACUGAGACAGCUCUACACCCUUCAACUCGCUCACGGUGGGUGACCUCGAAUAUGGCGCGCCGUGAAGUCCGCUGCGGCUCCGCCCCAGGCGCCCACGAAAUUCACCGCGAGAGUGGCAGGGGCACUACCGGUGUGCUGAAAGAGCGCGGCUGAACGUUUAAAACCAGAGCGUUCCCACCGGCUGCGCCGCUGCUACAUGGAAAGAAUGGCGCGUUGUGCCCCUCUUGAAGCCGCACAAGCCAGAUGGUGGUCCCGCGCCUCACUCUCUUUGACGCCGACCAGCAACCUGUACAAGUUACUUGAACAAAAGGCCUCGCGAAGACUGCGCGACCAACUGGAAAACAAGCUCCCACCACGGCAGUGUCUGGCUUCCGUCUUCACCGCUCUGCUUUAGACCUCCUGCGCUUUCUCCACCGCGCAUUAACCCAGCUACCGCCACGUGCUGAGGUAGGACUCGUAUUUUUGGACUACGUUCGUACGUUUAACUCGUCGGAUAACGGCGCUGAAGAAGUUCAGCGUACAGUCACACCUCACCAACAGGAUCCUGGAUCCCUCAGACAACCGCCGCUGCCUCAUCCUCGCUGGCGCCGCUGCCCGCGGACGAACACGUGGCAGAUGUGCAAGACGACGACAUUGUCCUAGACACCCCCGCCUCUCUCUUGCCCUGCAUGGCCGAGAGGGGGGCAUCGACAUCGGAGCUGCGGCAGGCGGCACAGCGAGCGCAUCAUCAUCAGCGGCGCAGCGGCGGCGGCGGCGGCACCGACGCGGCGCACGAACCUGCCGCGCCGGAGAAGAGCGAGCAUGCCCACCCGGCAGCACGGGGUGUCGGGCAGGAUGUGAUCGACCUCGUCACGGACGUCUUCACAGCGCAGCGCGAUGCCGAGAUCAAGAAGCGUCGCGAGGUACUCUAUGAGCUGACGCAUCCAAAUCCAAUCGACUACACGUACAACGGCAAGCUGGUGCCGCCGCCGCCGCUGAGCUUCGGGCAGGUGACGGAGGAGGCGCGUGCCCUCGGCAACAAGAUAAUGCUUGGGCAGACGUACUCGCUGGUGCGACAGGCCGGCACACGCGCCUCGGCCGACGACUUUGACGUGAUUGGCAGCUCGGCCAGCACAGCCGGCCGCGGCGCAGCAGCAGCAGUGACGAUUGUGUCGCCGGCCUCGAGCAUCGAGGCAGGUCUGGCGGCGCCGCUCUCCACUUUUUCGUCUCGCCAUGCGAAGGGCUACGGCGGCCGCACCGCUGCGGCGCCGUAUCGCAGCCGCGCGCGCGACGCGAACAUCUUCCGUGACCACAACUACUUCUUCGAGAUCAACGAGCUGUAUCAGGAGGUGGCCUUCGCCGGCAGAGCCUGCGCCGGCAAGUCCAGUCUGCUGAACGCGUUGCUGGGCCAGCACGUGGCCAAGACAAGCAGCACGCCGAACACGACGCGCAAGAUCUCCUUCUACCAGAGUGUGACGCCGGAGCAGCUGCACGCCUUCCAUGUCAAGGAGCACCACAACCAGCUUGUCAAGCUACCCGGCGGCGGGCUGCAGCUCACCUUUGUGGACUUGCCGGGCUACGGCAUCGAGGGCAUGAGCGACAAGUGGCGUGAUGCGGCCAUCGAGCUGACGGACGCCUACUUUGGCGUUCGCCGCUCCGUCAACACCGUUCUGUACUGCAUGGACUGCGAGCGGGGCCUCACCAAGACGGACAUCAAAUACUUGGAGUGGAUCGAGAACGUCCAUGGCGCGUGCUUUAUGGUGCUGACCAAGUGCGACAGCGUACCGCACUCCCGCGUCUGCUCCGUCAUGCGCCAGGUGUACGCGCUGAUCACGAAGCACCGGCACAAGUACCGCAAGGUGUUCCCCUUCAUCAUUCCCGUCUCGGCCAAGGAUGGCACGAACAUCGAGCUUCUGCGUGGCCUCAUCGCAGAGACCGCUGGAAUCAUACCUGGCGAUAAGCUACGGGAGCUGUUGCAGCACAAGAAGGCGGCCUUCACACGCACGGCGCUUCUGGCGGAGGUGAGCCGCAUCGACGCUGCGCGGCAGCUGGAGCGCGACCAGGCGAAAGUCUACUUUCAACUCACGUGCGGCGGCACCAGCGCGAGCGCGGCCGCAGAGUUGCCGCCGGAAGCGCGCUGUAGUGAGAGGCCAGGCGCGAGGCGAGAGCGGGAAGUGAGCGGUGGCGCCAGUGCGGGUGCGCAAGGCACGAGCGCCGAGCGGGGCGCUACACUUCCUCCCAACGUCGAUGCGUCUGAGACCGCGGCGUCGCCGUCUGAUGCAGCACUCGGCAGCUGCCACCGCCGCUAUGUGCUGCCGCUCGGCAACGGCGCCGCUGACGCUGAAGCUGCGGCGCUGCUCUCCGGCUGUGCCAGCGAUCUGGACGCAGCGGGCGACACUGCAGACUUCUUCCCUACCGAAUCGUCGAUGGCGGCUGCGGCUGCGGAGGGUCGUCGUGAGAGACGUGAACGGUUCCUCGCCUGGCGUAGGGCGCACCCACUGCGCACAGUGUCACCGUCGUACAGUGCAAUCCAUGGGCAGGUGGGCUAUGAUGCUACCCGACCCGUUGCAGCAUCAGAGCAAGAGGCAGGCCUUCCGGGCAGCGGCCGCUACCGACUGAACACCGGCCUCGACAAUCCCAGGGCUGCUCAUGCUGUGCUGGAGCUGCACGGGGGGCCGGAUGUCUCUGAGGGAGAGUGCGGCCCGCGCGGCAAGGACGGUGAGGGGGCGCGACAUGGCGGAGGCGACGCCGAAGCGCGGAAUUCCAGGGCCACAGCCGUGGCCUCCGCAGGCGAGUCUUCGCAUUCUCCGCCGCCAGCGCUGCCAAUAGCGGCGGCAUGUCACGGCAGGCGCUUCAGCGUCAUCGGUCUCAGUGACGUCGACACAGACGGCAGCGUUGCGCCAGGUGCCGCCGCCAGCGCAGCGCCGCCGGCAGUGGCACCGCCUUCUUCAUUGAGAUCGGCCUCGACAGGUACGGUCUCGCGGUUUCUCGACGUGAUGGAGCAGUAUGGCCGCCAGCACAAUGUUGUUUCGUCGGCAAAGCAGAAGCGGAGGGAGGAGCGCUGGCGUCGGCGCGGCGGCGGUGGCGGCGCGCGUGGCAGACAUUGCGCUCUCGGCGGCCUGCUCGCCGAGGACGCGUCUGGUCGCCUGUCGGCCUACAGAGCUGGCAGGCCGUGUGGACCGGCUCUCGUGUCGACCAACACCGACGUGGAUAGGCGCCAGGCCGAGUGGCGGGCGGAGCAGCUGAAGACGCUUCUUGCGAAGGAAAACCCCGAGGCGCCGUGGGCGGCACUGCACCAGCUGCGCCGGAAGAUCCAGGCCCGCGAGGAGGAGACGGCACUGGCGGGGAUGCGGAAGAAGGAGGUCGCCGCGUAUGUGCGCAACGCCGGCCGUGUGACGGCGAGCUUCGAGAAGUUCGAGGGCGAGGUGACGGCUGCCAAGUACAUGAAUGAGAUUCGCCAGGCCCCGACGCUACGCUCGCAGCAGCAGAUGCACCUGAACGCGACAGCCAAGAUCAACUACCGCUCCAUGCCACCCGGACUGUGGAAGCGCUACGGCGAGAAGGAUACGUACUGGCAGACGCCACAGCUGCUCGGCAGGUCGGAGGACGAAAGUCACAGGUAAACGCUGCCGCUGGCGAUGACGGAGAGCUCCGCGAGCCACUCUCGGCCCCCCUCCGCCGUGUCGCGCUUGCUCAGACAUGCUGCUCAAGUGUCUUUACACACCAGCGCGAGCAUUGACACACGCGCACGCCUAUACGGGUGCACAUGUAUGUGCGCAUGUGCGUGUGCGUGGCGAGUGCUAACAACGACGCAGUAAUGGCGCAAGCACAAACAAAAGAAACAGAGCCGCACGCGCCGACGGAAAGGCGGGAGGCCGUCCCAGCCCCCUCCGCGCCCAUCAUGCACACAUGAGUGACGGCGGUGUAGGAUGGAAGCGGUCUGGGCUAACCCUCUACUGUGAUUCCUGCUUCGCACACACACACACUCACGGCACACCUGCCCACACGCAGGACAGGGAAUGGCGAGCACAGCGUGUGUGUGUGAGCGAGAGAGAGGGCGACGCUUGCGCUGCGUUCCCUUUUUCACGCUAUGCACGGAGGUGUGCGCGCGUUCUGCUCUACGACUCCCACCUUGUGUUUGCACCGAUCGUUUUACCGUUGCUCUUUUCUCUCUGCUCGACUCUCCUUCAUUUCGACUCGGCGUUGCUCACCUUCACGUCGUACCCCGCGCCUCGCAG